CAAAGAAUAGUUAAAUUUAGAAUCCUAGCUUUGGGAGUUAGGGGUAAAGGUUAGAAUCCUUUUUCUUUGA
rnacentral:tRNA from 2 species